GAUGAAGAACGCAGCGAAAUGCGAUAAUUAAUGUGAAUUGCAGAAUUCCGUGAAUCAUCGAGUCUUUGAACGCACAUUGCGCCUCAUGGCAUUCCGUGAGGCGUGCCCAUCUCAGCGUUAGAAAAUAUUCUCAAAUUUUAGUUUUGUGCUAAAAUUUGGAUCAUGUCAAGGAAGCUAUUACUAUUAUUGUGAUCGCUCUUUGGAAAUUGAUAGGUCUUUGAGUUGCUACUCAUAGAACGUGAUGAAUCUUUCUUCGUUCUAUUGUAAUUCACUCUGGUAGUCCUAAAACUUGUAUGCCUGUGGCAUAUCUUGUAAUUUGACCUGAGAUUGGGUAGGGAUACCCGCUGAACUUAAGCAUAUCAAUAAGCGGAGGA
rnacentral:misc_RNA from 1 species